UGGGCAGUAUCUAUUAAAGAACUGCACCUGACAACUUCUCAAAAAUUUUUAUACAACCAACCAAAUAUCUGCCUUGAUCCAAAGGACUGGGACAGAGGG
rfam:Bacillus sp. CHD6a contig1, whole genome shotgun sequence.